UACGGAGGGGGCUAGCGUUGUCCGAAUUUACUGGGCGUAAAGCGCACGUAGGCGGAUUGUUAAGUCGGGGGUGAAAUCCUGGAGCUCAACUCCAGAACUGCCUUCGAUACUGGCGAUCUCGAGUUCGGGAGAGGUGAGUGGAACUGCGAGUGUAGAGGUGAAAUUCGUAGAUAUUCGCAAGAACACCAGUGGCGAAGGCGGCUCACUGGCCCGAUACUGACGCUGAGGUGCGAAAGCGUGGGGAGCAAACAGG
rnacentral:rRNA from 1 species